ensembl:lncRNA
CUCGAAUAGAUGAACUUUAAGUCGUUAUUCCCUGAUAAUUCAUUGUAUUACCCAUUCAUUGUAAUUUAAAUGAGAAAAGUCAUAUGGAUUUGGAACAACAUGACAGGACCUUAAUUUCUGGGUGAAUUAUGUCUUUAAACUACAAAUGAUCAAUCUCACUUUAACCGUUUUUGAUCCGUGGUGGAUGCGAACGUGCUGUAACCUUGGACAGUGGAAUGCAGGGUGGUAAUUGAGUGGUAAUUUACAGGGCUGUAAAAUGUAUUCUUUGGUUUAGUGCUACAGGACGUUUUUGUGAGGGAAAGUGUGAUUCAUGCAUUACAAAUGUGUGGGAUUUAUAAAGCGCUCUGGAGUUAGCUCAGCGUGUGCACACGUCUCUGAUUCACUGGGCCGUGAAAGGGAGGGAGAUCUUCUUUGAUGGGGAAUAGAUGCUCGGUUAUCAUCUGGCCAGUAUAUCAAUGGACGAGGUGAAGCUGUCUGAAAUCUUGCCUUGUCUCUGGCCUUUGAGUGAAUGAUCCUCUGAAAGACUUUUGUGCUUUCCAUUAAGGGCUUUGGUGCAUUGAAACCCCAGGGCUGUGACAUCUUUGGCAGUGAUUUAAACAAUCAUAUCAAAUACUUUACAGCUGUUGACUGGAACGCUCGAUGGAAAGCUGGCUUUGUUUCAUCCGGCCGAAUCUCUUCUCCCUUAAGUGUGGAAUCUGCCCCAAUGGCUCAGUUCUUGCCCCAAGUUCACCGAUGCUGCAGACAAAUGAAAUCAGUCACAUUGAGAUUACUCUGCUGGCGUGCCACCUCUGAGACCUACAUCAUGAACGGGAUCUGUGAUAUCAUCAUUUCAGCCGCCACUGACAACCUACAGAUGUGACAUGCUCACGCCCUCAACUGCGAAGCCAAAGACGCACCCUCAGAGAAAAGUCCAUUUGAACUUAGCAACACGUUUCCAUGCAUCUGAUAUGUAAUAUUCUUUAUUAAAGUAAACCUAAAUCUUGAUUGUAAAUCUUCUUUUAGAGUGACUCCUUUUCUAUAAAAUCUACAUAUAUAAUGUACCUGUGAUUUCAGACCAAAAAUGAUUCAUUUUAAGGUGCUCUCCUUUGAAUGAACAUGGAUGAAAGGAGAUGUUUUUUAGGUAAGUUUAUGUUUUAGGUUUGGAUUUACGUAAAGUUGUGUGAAGGUAGCAAUAAAUUGCAGAAUGCAUGCGAGAAAGACA